GACCAAACUAUCUUUUUAAUAUUUGUGCUGCAGUAAGAAUUCUACAAACAUCUGUUUUUCAGACGGACCACAAAAUGUUCGAAUCACAGGGCCGAGUAAGAUACAUCCAAAAGAGAAGUUAACUUUAACCUGCUCUGCUGACUCUAAACCACCUGCCACUUACAUCUGGAGGCUGAAUGGGGCAAAGAUACACAACUCUGCUGUGUUCACCAAAAACAACGCUGAACGCUCCGACAGUGGCAGCUACACCUGUGAAGCGAUGAAUAUGAUAACUGGGAGAAAAUCAUCUGCAGUCCAUAAACUGUCUGUAACAGACAAGGAAUCAGGAGGUCUUUCAGAUGGAGCCAUUGCUGGAAUAGUUAUCGCAUGUUUAGUUGUCGCUGCAGGAGCUGCUGGAGGAUACUAUAUUUAUAAAAAAAAAAAUAACAACAAAGCUGAGCCAUUUUUUGGAAAUACAGGUUAGUAUUUACCUGAUCUAACUUCAUCCUACACUUAGACUACCAUAUACUGUCUAUUAUGACAGACAGAAUGGACAACAAACUACAGUUAUAUAAAAAAGACAUAUGAAUAAUAAGAUGUAACAACACUUUUUUUUGCCUACACCAAGAAGCGCAGAACGAGGAGAAUGCAGCAGAACAUGAAAACACACAAACUCAGUGAUGUUUUCUCCCAUUUAAGCAGGUGAUCUGAAAAUGAGCUAAACUGUGACAUCAUACAUAUCCAACCUGAAGACAACGUUGAUAAAUGUAAAUUGUAAUGUUUUAUUAUUCUUUGAAUGUCAUGUUUGGCAAUGCAGUGUCACUUAACAGUAGCUGAAUUACCGUUUUACUUAUGAAACAAGCUUACAACUGCAAUAAUUUUGCUUGGGGCAGAAGAUGACAAACGGCAGCACGUACAUAUUAGUACCUUAUCGCCUAUUAUUACAGUGAGAAAUCAGCUUUAACUCGGCCCCAUUGUCGCAGAUACCUGAGGAAGCUAUUUUACUAUCACAGUUUAAGCCCGAUAUCCAAUCAGAGUGCAUAUUGAUAUCAAUGCAUCCCUACUUUUUAAUAAUCGCUAUUAAUUAGAAUUAUUGUCAAAAAUGACAGUGACAAACAGCUAGCAUGUUGCAUUUGUGUAAAUGAUAAAUGUAAUAAAUGUCCAUUUGCAUAAAAUGAAA